GAAGCCUCCAAUUCUAAUGAGAAGAAACAUUAGAAGGGAAAGGAGAAGUUUAACAAGAAUAAGGUUCAAUGUUACUAUUGUAAGAAGUUUGGCUACUUUGCUGCUGACUUUUGGUCAAACAAGGAAAGGAAAUCAAAAGAAGAAGAUAUAACUAGAGGAGAUUUUGAUGAUGAACAUGUGCUAUUGAUGACUUCUGAAUCUGAUGGUGCGUAUUUGGUAGACUGGUGGUAUAUGGACAUUG
rnacentral:lncRNA from 1 species